AGAGUUUGAUUCUGGCUCAGAACGAACGCUGGCGGCGUGGAUAAGACAUGCAAGUCGAACGGGGAGUUGUUUGUAGCAAUACAGACAGCUUCCAGUGGCGCAAGGGUGAGUAACACGUGGGCAACCUGCCGGAAAGCGGGGGAUAGCUCGCCGAAAGGCGAAUUAAUACCGCAUGUGGCCAGUCUCCGCAUGGAGACGAAGCCAAAGCCGGGGACCGAAAGGCCUGGCACUUUCCGAGGGGCCCGCGGCCUAUCAGCUUGUUGGCGGGGUAACGGCCCACCAAGGCUAUGACGGGUAGCUGGUCUGAGAGGACGACCAGUCACACUGGAACUGAGACACGGUCCAGACACCUACGGGUGGCAGCAGUCGAGAAUCUUUCUCAAUGGGGGAAACCCUGAAGGAGCGACGCCGCGUGGAGGAUGAAGGUCUUCGGAUUGUAAACUCCUGUCAUGCGAGAACAAGACCGCCCGGUGAACAGCCGGUCGGGUUGAUAGUACCGCAAGAGGAAGAGACGGCUAACUCUGUGCCAGCAGCCGCGGUAAUACAGAGGUCUCAAGCGUUGUUCGGAUUCAUUGGGCGUAAAGGGUGCGCAGGCUGUGAGGCAAGUCGGGUGUGAAAUCCCGGGGCUCAACCCCGGAACUGCAUCCGAUACUGCCUUGCUCGAGGACUGGAGAGGGGACUGGAAUUCUCGGUGUAGCAGUGAAAUGCGUAGAUAUCGAGAGGAACACCGGUGGCGAAGGCGGGUCCCUAGACAGAUCCUGACGCUGAGGCACGAAGGCCAGGGGAGCAAACGGGAUUAGAUACCCCGGUAGUCCUGGCAGUAAACGGUGCACGUUUGGUGUGGGCGGAUUCGACCCCGUCCGUGCCGGAGCUAACGCGUUAAACGUGCCGCCUGGGGAGUACGGUCGCAAGAUUAAAACUCAAAGAAAUUGACGGGGGCCCGCACAAGCGGUGGAGUAUGUGGCUUAAUUCGAUGCAACGCGAAGAACCUUACCUGGUCUUGACAUGCAUCUCUAAUCCGGUGAAAGCCGGUGAGUGUAGCAAUACACAAUUUGCACAGGUGCUGCAUGGCUGUCGUCAGCUCGUGUCGUGAGAUGUUGGGUUAAGUCCCGCAACGAGCGCAACCCCUGUGGCCAGUUGCCAUCCCUCUUCGGAGGAGGCACUCAGGCCAGACCGCCCUGUUCAACGGGGAGGAAGGUGGGGAUGACGUCAAGUCAGUAUGGCCCUUACGGCCAGGGCUGCACACGUACUACAAUGCCCAGCACAGAACGAACCGAACCCGCGAGGGGGAGGAAAUCCCGAAAGCUGGGCCCAGUUCGGAUUGAAGGCUGCAACUCGCCUUCAUGAAGCCGGAAUCGCUAGUAAUGGCGCAUCAGCUACGGCGCCGUGAAUACGUUCCCGGGCCUUGUACACACCGCCCGUCACAUCAUGGAAGUCGUUUGUAGCCGAAGUGCGCGCGCCAACCGCAAGGAGGCAGCGCCCUACGCUAUGAGCGGUAACUGGGAUGAAGUCGUAACAAGGUA
rnacentral:rRNA from 1 species